rnacentral:rRNA from 1 species
AUUGAACGCUGGCGGCAUGCCUUACACAUGCAAGUCGAACGGUAGCGGACCUUCGGGUGCCGGCGAGUGGCGAACGGGUGAGUAAUAUAUCGGAACGUACCUUUCAGUGGGGGAUAACGUAGCGAAAGUUACGCUAAUACCGCAUAUUCUGUGAGCAGGAAAGCAGGGGAUCGCAAGACCUUGCGCUGAUUGAGCGGCCGAUAUCAGAUUAGCUAGUUGGUGAGGUAAAGGCUCACCAAGGCGACGAUCUGUAGCGGGUCUGAGAGGAUGAUCCGCCACACUGGAACUGAGACACGGUCCAGACUCCUACGGGAGGCAGCAGUGGGGAAUUUUGGACAAUGGGCGCAAGCCUGAUCCAGCCAUGCCGCGUGAGUGAAGAAGGCCU